AACAUUUCCGUCUCCUCUAUGCUUGCAAUUCAAGACUCACUCAAUUUUCUUUCAGAUUCAGGAAGAAGCAAAAGAUUUAUUGAUUCAAAUCUUAUCAUGCCGUUUACUGGUUCCAAAAUAUUCUUUCAAAACAGUUCUAUCUGCCAUUGGGCCUGUGCUACCUCUUUUGGAAUGUCUUGCAGAAAAAAACACGGAACUUGGCCGCUGUGUUCUUGGCGUGUUGAACCCAGAUUCUUCUCCUCUCUCGCAAUUACAGUUACUCACUGGAAAUUUACGGCUCAUGUUUCGGAAUGAUAGCAUUGUUCGUGAAGAGGGAAUUGCGCGAGUCAUGUGGCUGAUGCGCACAACAACUGUAGUCAAACAAGCCUCGGGAAUAUUCAUUGUUGAAAAACCUGCUCACCAGCGACAGAUCUUAACUGGAGUUUAUGAGGUAGGAAGUAUGAUUCGGGUUCUUGAGCUACUAACAGUGCCUUGUGUCGAAGAUAGGCUUCGGCGCUCUGCCUUGAUUCAGUUGAGUGUUAUGACGGAAGACUGGCGACUUCAUGAUAUAUUUCUGGAACAAAAUGGAUUGAAAGCUGUCAUAGACGUUCUUAAAAAUGAGAUUGAGGAACCACGGACCGACUCAGGAAGGGACAUGAUUUUGUCAACAAUCUGUGUUCUGAAGAAUAUAGUGAGACAUAAUACACAUUUACGCUUGGAGCUAUCAACUGAUUUUGAGGUUUAUAAAGCAGCAUUUUUAGGUUUGUUCAAAUAUCACGAUGAGCUGAGGCUGAAGAGGGAUGCCACCGAGCUGUUUGCCUUUUUACUCUUUGCAGAGCAAAUUUUAACACCAACAAUUGCCUGUAUCUCUGUGGUUGACCUAGUCAAACGAUCUGUUAUUUUACCCUUUGAGCUCAAUUCUCACGCUAAAUCAAGUCCUCAUUCUGAACCUCAGUUAACUGGACUCUUGUGAUGAAAACUGUAAAAAGUGCCUGGGUAUUCACUGGCAUAUUGUCAGUUCUAGUGGUGGAAACAUCAACAGUCUCAUCGAGAAUUAUGAUGAUGUCAACAGUGACAGAUUAGUAGUUUCUGAAAAGACCAUGUUUCAACUGCAGUCAGCAUCGCUGCCGUUCAGCAUCACUCAGUUACUCUACGCUAUUCAGAACGCAACUCAUCAUACCACUGUCAUCGAAACUUCGGAUGUCAUUGCCAGGUAUUCUUAUUAUCCAAUUAAUCAACAUUUUACAAACCAGACCAUUUG
rnacentral:lncRNA from 1 species